rnacentral:lncRNA from 1 species
GCCGUUCCACAGGCUUAUAAAAGCCAAAUUUUCUUUUUAAAAUUCAUUCCGUUCGUGUCUAAAAAGAGAGAGAGAGAGGGGGUUGGUUUUUCUAGCCAAUGCGAUUUCUGGCCACCAGAUCACCCUUCGUUCGUCCUCCGACGACUUCCUUAUACGACGGUCAGAUUAAAAAAAGGGGCCUUAAGGCUGUUUUGUCCUCCCUAGGCUCGAUUCAAGGCCAAAAACCCCGAUACUCCAACAGAAAGCCUCGAACCUACGAAGGGCCUUUCGGCCUCCGACCACCCUUCAUCGGGGGUGGCUACCUCACCUCCUCCCUUCUGUUUGACUGUGUAAACAUAAGAAGGUAAGGUUUUCUCGCCUUUCCCUCUUAUUUGUUUGUCCUCUUUCUAAAGAAAAUAAACACAAAAAGGAAUCAAAGAGAAAAAGGAAGAACCGAGAACAAAAAUACUACCUUGAAAAUAUUCUAUUGCGAAUAUCUUUUUUUUUGUAAUUUCUUUGAUUUUGGUCCGUAAAAAAAAUACAAUCUGUUUGUGGCCUUUUAUAUAUCUGAAUGAAAAAGGAAAAAUACAAAAUUUUCUCUUUGCUGUGCUGAUGUUUUUACAUUUGCUUGCAGACGUGGAGGUGUACGGAGUGUGCGAAGGCCGUAUGUUGCGGUGGUAGUGCAUGGAGGCAACGGCGGUACUGUGGAAACCUAGGGUUUUUUGAGAACUUUAAAAUUUUGGCCUAUCAGGCUUGUAUAAUCGGGCUAUCCUUGUAUUUUGGGCUAGGGUUUAAAAUUUGGGCUUAGAAUUUGUAUUGGACUUGGACUACUGAUUUGGAUUUAAUUUGAUUAUAUUAAUUUUUUGUUUUUUCUUUUUGUAUCUGUAUGGCCCCGAGCAGAUCGGGUCUAUUAUACAAAUAAUUUUGCGUUCAUUUUUAAAAUUUAUUAAAUAAUAUAUUUUUAUAAAUUAUAAAAUAUAUAUUUACUAAUUAAAUGAUUGAAAAAUAUUAACUAAUUAAAUCAAAAUAACUGAGAGAAUAAAAUAAUAUUUUAAAAGUAAUGGAAAUGAAAAAAAUGGAAAACAAUUUAUGGUAAAAUAUUAAGUACUUAAAUAAAAUAAAUUUUCAUUUAAAUAUGAAUUAAGAUUUCAUCUAAAAAAAUCAUUACUUUAAUAAUUCAUUGUCUUUGAUAUGAUAUUUCACAACAAAAUGAUAAAUAACAUUCAUAAUUAUGUAAAUAUUAUUAAAAUCAAAUAAUAGUAAAUAAUAAUAACUAAACAUGUCAAAUAAUAAUGAAAAUCAUACAUUUUUUAUUGAUGGAAAACAAACCAAUUAAAUAAUGCUAAAAUAUAUUUUUUAAUAAUUCUUCAGAUGUUAUUUGAAAUGAAAAUCUCUUGCUAAUUAAUAUAUUUAUAGUGCUAAAUAUUAGUUUUAAUUGGUAUAUAACUGUAACACUAAUUAACUGAUAAUUAAUCUAAAAUAAUAAGUGUAAUUUAAUAUGGAUUCAAAGUCUAAUUAAGUGAUAAUGUAGAGUGUGCGUCGUAUUUACAAGACGACCACGACAUCCCAACGAGUUGAACUUUUGAUGAAAAUUUGGGAUGUAAUUGACAAAAAAACAAUUGGCAGAUAAACAAGUUGAAACUGGGAAUAGAUUUUGAUUCGGGAACAAAAAUAAUUAUUAACAAUGGAAAGAAAAUAUUUUCAAAGGAAAAGAUGAAGAAGAAAAAGGAAUAAAUAGAAAUAAGGAAAAUAAAUUUUAUUAGGAUUUGAGAAUGAGUAAUUUGAAUUCUAGUUAGCAUAAGAAGAUAAAAGGUGAUGGAACCUUCAUUCUAUUUGGAUUUCGAAGAAGGAUAAGAUAUGAAUUCUAGAUAAGUUUGAAAAAGAUAAUCAAUAUCCUAUUAUGUUAGGAUAAGGACUAAAUGAUAAGAUUAAACAAACUUUAGGGCGCUAUUUUGGCAAUUAAACCAUUUUAUCGAAAUUAAGAAAAAUGGUAAGGGAUUGGCAUGGCUUGAACUUAGGUGUGUUAGGGAGAAAAAAAGCAAGCUUAACCAUUAGGCUACAACCUAUAUUAUAUUUAUUUUUUACCAUAAUUAAUUCUUAUCCUAACUUGGUUUCCAUUCUUAAUUGCUCGAAAAAUAAAGAGGAAAAAUGCAAAAAGUGGGGUUCAAACUUUAACUUCCAAAGUAAUUUCUUAAACUCUUAACCGCUAAUACUAAAACUCAAUUCCUAUUAUUUUUAGUCAAUUGUAUAUAUCUAUUUUGUGCUUAGCUUGUCUAUUCUUUAUUAACUUAUACUUUUAAUCAAUUAUUUUAUUUAACCUAUAGUUUUUAAUACUCUUCUAUUUUAUUUUUAUAAAUCAUAAUUAAUACUCAUGGUUAGAGGUGUCCAUGGGCCGGGCCAGACCCAACAAAAAAUUUAGGCUUGCUUGUUAGGCUUGGCCCCGACCUGAAAAAAGGGCCUAAAAUUUUUCUCAAGUUUGGAUCGGAUAAAAAAUGUUAAAACUCGAGCCCCAACCCGCCCGUAUUAAUUUUUUAUAUUAUUUUUUUUAAAAUAUAAUACAUAAAAAAUACUAAAAAUUUUAAAAUAAAUAUAUUUCAACAAAUUGAAAAUAAAUUUAAAAAAUUUAUUUACACUUAAAUAGCACUAAGAUAGGUGUAACUUAACAAUCAAAUGCCUCUAAAAUAGUAACAAAAUUAACAAUAAUACAAAAGUUAUAUAAUAUCCAAAUAAUAACAACAAAAUAGUAGCAACAUAGUAGUGAAAUGGUAGCAAAAUAGUAAUAAAAAAAACAACAAGAAAAUAGGGGAAAAACUAAAAAAAAAGUAGUAAGAACAAUAAAAGUAGUACUUUUUUUUAUAUUGAAGCCGGGACAAAAAAAAGCCUUACCCAAUGCCUGACCCAUUUUCUAAACGGGCCUUAUUUAUUUAUUUUUCAAACCCUAUUUUACGGGCCUAUAUUUUUACCAAAACCCUCCCACUUUUUGGGUUGGCCUUCUCGACCUGGCCCAUGGUGUAAUAGCCUGGUUUUGGGCUUAGUCGAAAUAGUGAUUUCGAGACCACAACUCCGAAGUUAUAGAAAUUAUUUUAUUAUUAUUUUGGUGUUAUAGUAUGAUUAGGUAAGUGUAUGAAAAUUUUGGUGAAUUAAUUUUAGCGAUUUCAUGCUUAAUUGUGAAAAAAGGACUAAAUCGCAUAAAGUGCAAAAGUCCUUUUUUGUUAGCUAAAGGUGUAAAUUGACUAUGAAUCAUAGUGUGGAGGUCUUUAAAGGGAAAAUAGACCCUUUUGAGAGAGGUGGCUAGCCAUGGGAGACAAAGGAAUAGAAAAGUCAAUGUUUGGUGAAAUUAGGUGAUUAAAUUGAAUAAAAUAAAACAAAUAGGAUAAGUUGUCAUUUUUCUCAUCUCUCUCCUUCUUUCUCCACUGAUUUUUUUCAAGAAAAAUAGCCAUGGAAGCUUGAAAUUUUCAGCAGCCUCAAACUCUUGCGAGUAAGUCUUCUCGGUGGUCUUUCUUUAUAUUUUUGUGUUUUUGGAAUCCCUAAAGCUUAAUCUAGCUAUUAAGGGGACUAUUUUGCAAAAUGAUUGAGAGUAUAGGGUUUUUCCAUGAAAGCAUAUAAGUUUUUGACCAAAAUUUUAUGGAAGAAAAUGGGUUAUGGUUGUGAAAUAAACAACUUUUGUAAAGGACUUCUCAUGAAAACCCUAAUAGGACUAUCUUGUAAAGUUUAUAAAAUAAAUAGUAAUGUUUUGAAAUAAUGGGAAUUUUGGGUUGCUAUAAGAGUAAGAAGGGUUCGGCUAGGCUUGACUAAUUAGGAAAUUGGACAAAAAUCGAUUUCGGCCUAGGGGUAAAAUGGUCAUUUUAUGGAGUCUAGGGGAAAAAUGGUAAUUUUACCUAAAUUAUAAAUUUAUUGAGCAUUUAGAUUUAAUUGAAGAUUAAAUGACUAAAUGUUUCCAUUUUAGAUCAAGAAAUACGAAAAUCAGACUUGGAUCGGGGGAAGGCCAAGCUUGUGGAUUAAGCCGACUAAUUGCUCACAUUUUGUAAACCAAGGUAAGUUGUACGUAAAUAAUGCAAUUAAAUGUUAUCAUGUAUUAUAUAAUUAGUUUGGCACAAAUUGUUGAGUUGUGAUGAGAAUGUGAAUUUAUGUAAUAAAAACUUCUAGGUGAACAUUUGGAAUAGACUUGGAUACUUAUACCAUGACAUUGGGUGAUAUGUGUGCUAGUGUAAGACAUGUCUGGGACAUGCAUCGGCCACAUCAUGAGAGCCAGUGUAAGACAUGUAUGGGACAUACAUCGGCCUCGAGAUAUACAAGCUAGUGUAAAACCUGUCUGGGACAUGGCAUCAGCUUGUUAUGUGUCAAUGUAAGACCUGUGUGGGACAUGGCAUCAACACUGAUAGAUGAGAGCCAGUGUAAGACCUGUCUUGGACAUGGCAUCGACCUUGUUAUAUGAAAUUCAGUGUAAGACAUGUCUGGGACAUGGCAUCGACUUGAUGUGUUAGCCAGUGAAAGACCAUGUCUAGGACAUGGCAUUAACAUCUUAUCCCAUGUUUGGGGUUAUUGGGUAUCCUGUAGUAUUCUAAAUGGUUCAACGGAAGAUUUAUGAUUUAUAUCAAGACAAGAAAAUUUAUGACCAUGUGGUGAGUGGUACAGGUACCUACUUGAGAUGUAUUAGAUGUGGACUCAAUACAUGCUAUAUGAAUUGUAUUGGAUGGUGAUGAGUAAGUUGUGCUUAUAUUUAUUUAUUUUAUUCGAGAACAAGCUAUGAAAUUGUUAUGAGCAUAUUGUGGUUUGAUAAUUAGUUAAUGUUUAUUUACAUGCAACUUACUAAGCUUUACGCUUACCCCUUUUUCGUUUCCAUUUUCUUAUAGUGCUACCAAAGUAGCUCAUGGAUCAUCGUCUACGUCGGAGAAGCCAGUCACACUAUCAUUUGAAGCACUUGGUAUAGUUAGUUCUUUUGUUUUGAUUAUGGCAUGUAUAGGAUCUUUUAAUUUUGUUUCAGUGUCACAUUGUUUGGGGGCCAAAUGUGUUGGCUUACUUUAGUAUUUGACUCAUUUUGUAUAAGGCCAUGAAAAUGGCCAAUAUUGAAAGUUUUUAUAUGAAUACAAUAAGGUUUUUCAUGAAUGCGAAAUUGUUGGUCUAGUUGAACAUGUGAAUUUCAAUGUUUGGAUAGCAAAGGGUAUGAAUUGGGUACUUAAGCAUAUGUGAAAUGGCUGUGUGUCUCAGCCGUGUGGAGGACACGACCCUCGGCCACGGGCGUGUGCCCCUAAAUUUUUACUAACGUUAGAAACAGAAUGUCAAGGUUUUUAAACACAGGCUAAGACACGGGCGUAUCAUGGCCGUGUGAGGGACACGGGCCAUGGACAUGGGCGUGUGUCAGGCCGUGUAAAAAUCCCUGUAGGUUCGAAAUUGAAAAUUAAUUCACACGGGCUCAGGACACAGGCGUGUCCCUAUGACUAGGUAAAAAAGGUAGCACGAGCUUGUUGCCUUUCCACACGGAUGUGUGCCCCUGUUUCAAGUGACAUUUUUUAAAGUUUUCAAAGAUGUUUGGAUUAAUCUCGGGAUAUUUCCAAAAUGUGAUUUGAGCUCCGUAGGCCCAUAUUAAGAACUUUUAGAUUAAGAGAGAAAAGUUUUAAAUUUGAUCUAGAUUUUGUAACUCGAAAAUGAUUGUAUGCAUGUGUGUAAGUCAGGUAAUGCCUCAUGCCCAGUCCCGACCUCGGACUCGGGUAAGGGUUGUUACACAUGGGCAGGUCUACUCAUGGUCAAGACUCACUAUUAAUAUUUUAAUUCACUCAUGGUCAAGACUCACUAUUAAUAUUUUAAUUCACUUUUACCCUUUUUCCAUUUAGGUCCUAACUAAAUGAAAACACAUCAUUUUCAAAUUAGUCCUCCUAAUCAAGUUUCAUUUUUUUAAACUAACCCCAAAUUGUUUUGGGAUGUUAUAAAAACUUUAUUAAACCUUUUUGACUUAAGGGUGUAAAAAGCUUUCUAACUUUUUUUUUUAUUUUAAAAAAGGAAAUUAAGCUCCUACUUUUUUUUGCACUCAAUUGAGUACUUUAACUUUCAAAAUGCAUAAAAAAGACCCUCAAAUUAAAAAAAACAAUUAAGCACCUUUUUUUUUGCAUUCAAUUGGGUACUUGAACUCUCAAAAUGCAUCAAAAAGGUUAUUUGAUCGUUAACUUUAACAGUUGUCUGUUAAAAUUAACUGUUCCUAAUUUUUUUCGAUUAAAGCCAUCCCGUGUCACAGCCACAAGUGACAUGUGACAUAAAAUUAUAAAAAAAAUAGAAAUCAAUAAAAGUUAUAAAAGGUUACUAAAUUUUAUUCAAAGUUAGGAAAAAAUAUUAAAAAAUAUAUAAAAAUUGUAAAAUUUUAUAAAAAUCAUUAAAGAUUGUAAAAUGCAUUAAAAAAACCCCUUUAACCAUUAACUUUAACCAUUGACCAUUAAAGUUAACGACCCUAAUUAUUUUCCAGUUAGAGCUAUCACGUGUCGCAACACUGCGUGACAUGUGGCGAAAAAUGAUAAAAAAAAUAAAAAAUCAAUAAAUGUUAUAGAAAAAUUAUAAAAUGCUUCUUUUGGCACGAUAAUUUUUAUAAUUUCUUUUAUGAAUUUUAUAUUUCUUUACAAUUUUUAUAAUUUUCUUGCAAUUUUAUAAAAUUUUAAAACUUCUAUAUUUUUGCGAUUUUUAUAAUUUUUUAUAAUUUUUAAUAGUUUUAUAUUUUUUAUUAAAAUUUAAUAUUUUUAUAACUUUUAUUAUUUUUUAUUAUUUAUAAUUUUUUUCCACAUGUCACGUUGUGGUUGUGACACGGGGUGGCUUUAACUGAAAAAAUUAGGAGCAAUUAACUUUAACGGUCAAUUGUUAAAGUUAACGAUCAAAGGGCCUUUUUGAUGCAUUUUGACAAUUUAAGUACCUAAUUAAGUGCAAAAAAAUGCAAGGGCUUAAUUUUUUUUUUAAGUUUAAUUUUUUUUAAGUUUAAGGGUAUUUUUUAUGCAUUUUGAAAGAUCAAAUACCCAAUUGAGUGAAAAAAAGAGAGACUUAAUUGCUUUUCUUGAAAAAAGUUUGAGGGCUUUUUAUACCCUUAAGCCAACCUUUUUCAAUCAUAAAACCCCAUUUCACUUUCUUUCCUAAAGAAUAUAGACACCCAAUUUUGUUCAACUCCCUUGAUUUGAAUUUCAGGGUGAUUGGUCUGUAAGUCUUUGAAAAUGUUUGGACUUAUUUGAAUUUUUAGUUUAAUCUCGAGAUUAAAUUAAAUUUUUAAAAUUUAGUGAUGGGCUAAUUAUGAAUUAAUCUUUUUUAGGAAUUUAGAAGUUGUUAUAUGUUGUUGAUGUAAAAAAAAAAAGUAACGAUAAAAGAUAAAAAUAGAGAGUAGAUGUGCAAAUAUUUUUUUACAUAUUUUAGACCUUAAUUCACUCACAUUUGCAUUAUUCUUAAGUAAGGUUUAGUUAAUUUUGAGUUAAUAGGUUCAUUUUACAAAUAGUUGUAGUUUUAGAUUAUUUUAAUGUUUUAUAUUAUUUUUAAUCCUUUUAAAUAAAUAAUUUUUUCAAGGUCUUUUUGUAGGCAUUGGAUUUAGUUCAAGAGAGGAAAAACGAUUUUGUAAUAAGUGGAGUGAGUAAAAAGUUAGAAAGUGAAGAAGUUUGAAUCUGCCUAAAAAGGUAGUGGUGUAGAUUCUUCAAGCCAUGGUCUUGGCCCAGUUUUGCUAAAUUUUUUUUAUUUCGAUUAUAAAUGAACUUUUUGAUUUUUUCACUACUGGUUUGAGAUUUCGUCCUAAAAAGCCUUUAAAUAACAGAAGAAAGGUGUUUCCUUUAUUUUGAGAGUCUUUGAGUUUUAUUUAGUUACUUUUCUUAAUUUUACUUUGUUAGCCAUAUAACUUUUAACUUCUGAAUUGUCUUGUGAAUUGUAGCAACUAUUUUAUAGAUUAUUUAAGAUUGUCAUGCUUCGUCGCUAUAUCUCUUAUAUUGUUUGUCAAUUUACAAUAAGUUAAUUAUUUAUGUGGUUGGGAAAUUCAUAAGUUAAUGGCUUAGUAUUCGAAACAAGAGUAGAACUUUAUUUAGGAUUAGGCCAAGGCAAAACUAUCAAGCCAUGGUGAGACUUGCUCGCUACACCUCUGAGAUCGAGCCAAAACAAGUAGAUGAUGCUUUGAGGGAUGUUAAUUGGAUUCAAGCCAUGUAGGAGGAGAUAAAACAAUUAAAGAGGAAUAAGAUUUGGAAGUUAGUGCCUAGAACUACUAAUUGUAACACAAUUGACACAAAGUAGAUUUUCAGAAUAAAACAAAUGAGCAUUGUUGAGAAUGUGCCUUAGACUUGCUGAAUAAUAGGUCUGUAGACCAAGUUUUCAGGGAUUUUUAACUUUGUGGCAUGAUUUUAUGAGAAAGUUAAGUGACUAGAUAUCAACAAGAUAUAUUUUAUGUUAUUUUUUUAGCUAUAUAAUCUGAACAAUACAAUAGAUUAUAGUGUGCAUCCAAUAUAUUUUUUCUUUCAUUUUCAUGUUUCAUAUUUUUUACUAAAAUACCAACAAUAGGUAUUAGAGCUGUUAUCUUAAAGGAUCUGUGAGUUGAGAGAAACACAUAAGCUUUAGACAUGGAAGCUGACACAACGUUUUCUCAUAUUGUUUUACCAAUUUUUUAUGGUGACAAUUAUCAAGUUUGGGCUGUUAGAAUGACAAUCUAUCUUGAUGCGAUGGAUCUUUAGGAAGCAGUAGAAGAAGACUUCGAUGUUUCGUCAUUAGCAGCAAAUCCGACAAUGAAUCAACUAAAGACUCACAAAGAGAAGAAUACAAGGAAUUCCAAAGCUAAAGAAUGCCUUUUCUUGACUGUUCAAACAAAAUAUUUACAAGAAUCAUGAAUUUGGGGUCAGUAAAAGAAAUUUGGGACUACCUCAAUAAAGAAUACUAGGGCAAUGAAAGAACAAAAAUAUGCAGGUGCUUAAUUUGAUCAAAGAGUUUGAAAUGUUGAAAAUGAAAGAGACAGAAAUCAUUAAAAAUUAUUUUGACAAGUUGAAGGGCAUAGUAAACAAGGUAAGAUUGUUGGGUAAGGAUUUUUCUAAUGAUAGACUAGUGCAAAAAAUUCUUGUCACUAUGCCUGAAAAAUAUGAGUUUAAAAUUUCUUCAUUAGAAGAAUUUAAGGAUUUAUCAAGUAUAUCCUUGGCAGAAUUAGUGAAUGCAUUGUAGGCUUCAGAUUAAAGGAGAAAGAUGAGACAAGAAGCAUUAGUAGAGGGUGCUUUUCGGGCAAAGUUUGAAAUUUUGUGAGGUAAAAAUUAGAAAACUAAAGAUAAGACCAGCAAUAAUAACAACAACGAGACAUAUCCACCAUGUCCACACUGUAAGAAGACAAAUCACUUUCCAAAGAAGUGUUGGUGGUUGCUUGAUAUCAAAUGCAGAAAAUGUAGCAGUAUUGGGCACAUAGAACGAGUCUGUAAGUCUCAAUAACAUGAAGAGGCAAAAAAUCUAUUGAGCAACAAGAAGAUGAGUUCUUUUUAUGGCAACAUGUUUCUCCAAUGGUUCUUAGUUGAUCAAUAGCGGCUGCACAAAUCACAUGACCAAUGACCCAACAAUUUUCAAAGAACUUGAUAAAACUAUCAUUUCCAAAUAAAAGUUGGAAAUGGUGAGUUUAUUCCAGUUAAGGAAAAAGGAACAGUGGCUAUUAAAAGUUUAACAUGUUUGAAACACAUAACUGAUGUUCUAUAUGUGCCUAACAUUGAUCAAAAUCUUCUUAGUCUUGGGUAAUUAAUUCAAAAAGGUUUCAAGGUCAUAUUUGAAAACAAAUGGUGCUUGAUCAAAGACUCAAAAUGUAGAGAUAUAUUCAAAGUAAAAAUGAAAGGAAAAAGCUUUGCUCUAAAUCUAAUGGAGGAGAAGCCAACAAUGAAGCAAUUACUACAGACUCCUCAGUACUUUAAUGACAACAUAGAUGAUGUUCCAAUUUGUGACACAAGAUUUUUAUCUAAAAUUUAUGAAAGGUGUAAUGUUGCUGUAUUUAAGUAUGUUGAGUUUAAAAAAGCUAAGAAACAUGACAAGUGGAUUGAAGCAAUGAGAGAAGAGCAGUCCGAGAAAUUCCAAGUCGAGAGACAAGAGGAGAAAGUCUACAUGUUAAACAAGGCCUUAUACAAUUUUAAACAAGCUCUUGGGACUUGGUACAACAGGAUUGAUGAAUAUCAUUUGAAAAAAGAACAGAAGAUUGGUAAAAUCAAGUCGAUUUUUUGCAAGACUGAAGAUCAAAUUGCAGAUAUGUUAACCAAUGCUCUUCCAAAAGUUAGAUUUAAAGUUUUAAGAAAUAAAUCAGGCUUUUGCAAUUACUAAGGCAAGGAGGAGUGUUGAGAAUGUGCCUUAGACUUGCUGAAUAAUAGGUCUGUAUACCAAGUUUUUAGGGAUUUUUUAUUUUGUGGCAUGAUUUUAGGAGUAAGUUAAGUGGCUGGAUAUUAGCAGGAUAUAUUUUGUUAUUUUUUUUAACUAUAUAAUCUAAAUAAUACAACAAAUUAUAGUGUGCUUCCAGAAUAUUUUUUCUUUCACAUUUUUUUUUGUUUCAUAUUUUUUACUAAAAUACCAACAAGCAUGAAAACAUAAUCUGCAACAAGGCCAGACUCGUAGCCCAAUGGUAUACUCAAGUUGAAGGUAUUGAUUUUGAAGAAACUUUUUCUCCGAUGGCUACACUUGAAGCAGUUAGAUUGUUACUUGUUGUGGAAACACAUCUUAACAUCAAACAGUAGCAAAUGGAUGUUAAGAGUGCAUUUCUAAAUGGAUUUUUAAAUGAGGAACUUUAUGCAGCACAACUUAAAGGGUUUGAGACUUCAACAAACCCAGAGCAUGUCUACAAACUAAGUAAGACAUUGUAUGGUCUAAAACAAGCACCUCAAGCUAGAUAUGAAAGGCUAUCUCAAUUUCUAAUUGCCCAAAGAUUUCAAAGAGGGUCAAUUGGUAGGUCUUUAUUCAUUCGAAGCCACAAAUGCACUACAACUAUGACCUAAAUUUAUGUUAAUGACAUAAUAUUUGGUGCUACAUCAACAACUACAAAGGACUAAUUUAUAAAAAUGAUGUAAAGCAAAUUUGAGAUGAGCAUGGUAAGGAAGUUGUCAUAUUUCCUUGAAUCCCAAAUCAAGCAAUUGGAGAAUGGGGCAUUCCUAUCUAAUGAAAAAUAUGCAAGGAAUAUGGUGAAGAAGUUUGGACUUGAGAGUUCUAAGCCUGCUAGGACAUAUAUGGCUAUUAAUGAAAAUUUAUAUACAAAAGUUGACGAAGUACCCAUUUUCGCAACCACAUUCAAAAACAUGAUUGGAAAUUUAAUUUAUCUCAUAGUUAGUCGUCUCGAUUUGUGUUUUAGCAUGGGUAUAGUUUCCAGAUACUAGACUAAUCCAAGAGAAUCUCAUGUCAAGGCAUCUAAAUGGAUUAUAAGGUAUGUCUAUGGAACACCUGAGCUUGGAAUUUGGUUAUUUAAAGAUAGUGUGCUAAGUUCACUAGGGUAUAGUAAUGCUAAUUGAAUUGGGAAUAUGGAUGAUUGUAAAAAUACAUCUGGAUGGUGUUUUUACUUAGGAUCCAAUUUAGUUUCAUGGUACAACAGAAAGCAAGGAUCAAUCUCACUUUCUACACUAGAAGCAGAGUACAUUGUUGUUGGUAGCUAUUGUGCUUAGCUACUUUGAAUGAGACAUAUGAUGAAGGAUUUUGGGAUUGUUAUACAAGUUGUCACGACCUAUUGUGACAAUACUAGUGUCAUAAACAUUUCAAAGAAUCUAUUGCCACAUGCAAAAACCAAAUACAUUGAUAUCAGACACCAUUUAAUUCGGGAAUUAGUUGAGAAUGAGCUUGUUGAAUUAAAGUAUGUGCCCACUCAAAGCCAACUAGUUGAUUUGUUCACCAAAACCUUGUAUUCAAGCAUGUUUGAGAGUUUGAAAAGCUUAGUUGGGGUUUGUCGAGCUUGAAGAGUUGAUAGUACAUGAAAGACAUCCACAUGAUUGGACUUGAUGUCAUUUUGAUGUAUUUAGGAUAAUUGUGUAGUUAAUUAAUUUGGUUAAAUUUUUGUAGGCUAAUGGAAUUAUUUUUGGAGAUUUUUCUUUCUCAUUAUCUUGGAGGGAAUUUUUUAUCUUGAGAAUUGUCAAACUUUAUUUGCUAUAAAUACCACAUUAUAUAUCGUAUAAUUAGAUUCUUUAAACAUCAAAUUCCCAAAAGCUCUUCUAGUCUCAAAGCUUUCAAAUUAUUGCUUCUUGACUAAAACCCCAACUUGUACCACAAGAAAACUUCUAGGUAACUCCAAUGGUUCGAGUAAAAGCAACCUAAAAAAAAAACAAUUUUAAAAACAACGACAAGAUUAAUCCACUGAAAAGGGGACUUCCAAUGAAAAAACAAAGGAGGUGCACUUAUUUAGAGUAUUUUGAGAAUAGAUAAUAUAUUAUUCUAAAAAAUAGUGCUCAUUGUAUCAUACUGAAUACAACUGUUUUUAUUUUCAAAAUACAUCAAUAAUUAUUGCAUGUUGUAGCUACAAACAUGUUGAUUCUAUAUAUAUAUAUUAAUUUAAAAGCUUAUUUCAUUAUCCCAUUUCUGUUAGAUCACUUUUAAUUUAAGUUAACCUAUUAUGAUAUUAAAUAAUAAUAACAUAUAACUAAGUAUAUAAUAUAUGUGAUGUUCAUAUUUUCUAACAAUCUCUUAAUAUAUUUUCACACAUAGUGAUGAAUCUAAAUUACUGUCCUGUUUUCUUUGUAAAUCUUGUACAUUUCUUGCCCUUCGCAGCUCCAGUAUUUUCUGCACUCUCAACAAUCAAGAAUGGUAUUAGUAUCUAUUACUUCGACUCAUCAAAAAUUUUAAAGUAUUAAUGAGUUAAAUUAGAUUUAUAUAUGAUAUCAAUAUACUUCAUAUUUAUCUAAGUCAAAAUAAAAUAAAAAUGUGAACCCUUAAACAAAUCUAAUAUGGCAUUUUAUGCCUAACACAUAUUUAAAUAUUGUACGAAGAUAUAAAUCUCUAAAAGCCCAUAAAAUAUAUGAAAAGAAGUUAGGAAAAAUUGAAUAUAUUUAUGUGGAGCACAUACAAUAAGUUUUAACCGUAGGUUUUGGGCAACUUGUCACCUCCGCAAACAACUGAUUUCAGCUUGUCAUACCUGAGAUGAUUAAAGUUAGAUGAAAAGGGUCGAAAAUUCUAGCUAGUUUAAAGGAUUUUAGGCUUGUUAAAGCAUUUAAGAACAUAUCUUUAUUUGGCAUAAAAAUCGUAAUUUAGUAUCAGAAUAUUAAAAACUUACUUGCACUCGCUCACUUGAUGGCUUGAGCUAUUAGGACUCAAACUCUGUUCGAGAAUAAUUAAAUGAAUCAAGCGAACUAAUACUUACCAUUCAUCUCCUGGUGCUAUUGGAAUUGUAGCAGAUUGAGAGCUUGGUUUGGAAUAUGAAUGUACUCUUUCUACUUCCUUACAUUUAUGUUUCAUUGGCUUAUCCUUGGAAUUUUCCACUGUUUUUUUUUUUACAUUAGUUUCAUUAGUUUCUUCAAAAAAUAGACAUGUUUAUAAAAGUUUAUGCAAAAUUGUUGGAAAAAUUACCUGCACUUUUAGUUUUCUUGAGGGAGAAUUGAGUGGUUAUUCUAUUAGAAUGAAGCACACCAUUCCUGCUAUUUUCUUUCUUGAAGCUCCCUCUCUUGAGCUUCGCUGCUUUAGCCUCUUCGACUGAUUGAAUAGCAAAUGCAGCCGCUGCAAUGGCGGCUUCAUGUGCGCCUGGUUUCGGACGAUUAUCUUCACCGUUUCUACUUGAAAACUGCUUCUGGAACCAGUUCUGUUUUCUAAGGAAACAACCAAAAAAAAAAAAAAAGAGUCAAAAUGAAUGUGGAAUAUGAAUAUAUGUAGACACUUAUAUGUUUGUUCCACAUUAAAAACACUACUUUAGGUUCAACAUUUUGUGAUGUUUUAUUGUCAUUUUGGGGACCUUAUUUGCAGUACUUUAGAUACAUUAAAAACAGUUCGUUCCAGAAUAUAUAUUUUCAGUUCAGAUACUGUUUUUUUUUUUUCUCUUUGCUUAAAUUUUAAUCUAACAAGAAUCUAGUUUUAAAAAAAGGGGGACAAUCUGAUAACUAAUUCUUCUUUGCCAAGAACCAAAUCGACGUUGGUCGGAAAACGGACUCCUUACAUAUAAGUAGGAAGAAUGAAGGUACGGAUACUUUAAAUAAGAUUAUAUUACGAUAAAAAUACACAAAAUUAAAAAAUUGUUAUGUGAAUAUGCAAAUUAUAGAACAAAAAUAAAGAGUGAUAGAUGCAUACAUACAUACCUGGUUUGCUUGAAUUGAUGUUCCAUCUUCAGACAAACUUUAGAUUGCACAACUCCCCUGUUGUGUAAUAAUCUGAUUUUGUUCCCAGAAAUGGAAUGUAUGAUUUGCAAAGAAAACUUGCUAAGAACACAUAUUUAUAGCUUCUUACAUGAAAAAGGGAAGUGAAUUAAGUCAAAUUCACAUGCACAUUUGAUGAAAGCUGACUUCCUUGCUUGCCAUAUUAUUCACCUUUACUACAAAGUCUUAUCUUAGGUAUUAUUUUUCGGUAUUAACACAUAUUUAUUAUAUUUAAAAAAUUAAUUUCAUGUCAAACUUAUACUUGUAGUUAAUAUUUUGUUUAAUAUUGUUCCGAAGUGAAUAUGAAAAAACAAAGGGUUAAUUUCAUAAGAAACCCUUAAGUUAUGACCUCGAUUUUAAAUUUGUUUUCAAAUUUUCAAAUUUUCUAAUUCUAUCAAUUUAAUUGUAAAUUUAGGCGUUAAAUAUCACUUCAAAUUUGAUGUGAAGCAUAUUUAAAAUAUAGAUCAAAUAGUAAACACAUAAGUACCUACUAUAUGGGCAAUUUAAGUAUGAUGUGUUAAAAAUGAAAAAAAAAAAAAGUAAUCGUCCUAAAAUUUUAUUAAUAUCAUGUUCUUUAAUAUGUCAAAUUCAAAUUAUCCAUGUGAUAAAUACACACAUGUUUACAAUUUAAUAUAGCAUUAAAUCUGGGUUGGAUAGCUAGCUAAUGAAGAAUCUAAUUGAUACAAUACCGAUACUAUAUUUUUUUAAAAUUUAAGGACCAAUUUAGAAUCUUAGUAAUAGUUUGCGGACGUUUAAUGAAUAAACCCGAAAAAGAAAAUGAAAGAAAGUAAAGUAAAGAAAUAUAAACAAAGUAAAAAAGAAAGAAGGGACCAAUUCUUAUUCCAUUUCUUUUUCAGCUAUAUAUAUUCCUUUAGCCUCCGUUACCGUUCAAUAAAAAAGGGCAUAUGAAACGCUGGCGAAUGGAUGGAAUCUAGGGGCUUUUUGUGGGCAUAUUUGAAACCAAAAUUAAUCCCACAUCGCUAAAAUCUCAUUCUACAUGGUUGAAAAUAAGUGAACGGAUAGCAUGAUUUGAAGAGAAUACUUGGUGCUUCUGUUCGUUCUUUUUAUUAUUUUAUAAUGCCAUAUCUCUUUUGGAUAGUUCCUCAGCAAUUUCAGAACCAUGAUUUGUUCCCUUAAUUAACAACUAGUGGCAGAUAGAUAGAAUCCGCAAUAUCCACGUUAGUCUACAAUAUAGGUGAACAAACUUUGAUUGGAUUAAAAAAAAAUUAAAUUUUGAGUUAAUCGAGUUAACUCGAAUAAGUAAUUCGAGUUUUUAGUUUAAAUUGAAUUAAACUUUACUAUUCGAAUAACUCAAAUAAUUUGAAUAACAGAUUGGUGUAAAUACUCUUUUGGUCCCUGUCAAGUUUGAAAAUGAGCAAAUUGGUCUCUCUCAACAAAAAAUUACAAAAAAAUUAAAAUAAUUUUCAAAAAUUCAAAAUAUUUAUAAAAAUUUUUAAAAAAAUUAAAAAUAUAUAGAGAAAGUUAAAAAAAUAAAAUUUUUUAUAGAAUAAUAAUUUUAGGGACCUAAAUAAGAAUUAACGAUUCAAGAUUAUCAUAGUAGUGUAUUUUUUUUUAUUUUGCUUUGAAAAAGUUUUCAAAUAUAUAUAGUUUCAAAUUUAUGUGUUCUAACAUGGAAUUAGUUAUACUGUAAUAAAAUUUUAAUUUAACAUGUUUAAUUUUUUAAGUUGAACAAUUUUACUUGAUUCGACUCAACUUGAAUUUCAUUUCAUCUGACUUGAUUAAAAAAAUUUCAAAUCGAGAUAGGAUGAUAAAAUAGGACUCCUGAACUCGAAACUUUUUCACUCGACUCGAUUGAACGCUCACCCCUAGUCCAAUGAAUAUUUAAAUAAAUGUACAAUGAUUUACACAUGAAAAUGAGUACUAUAGAUAGAGAGUUUUGAAAAAAAAUUUAUACAACAUUUAGAACUAUUCAUAAUCUCUCCUUAACUCCUUAAAUAUGAGGAUAAAUGUGUUUGAGCGUGUUCGAGUUCACGUCCUCAUGUACUGACAACAAUAACAAUACAAAUCAAAUUAAAAUUCGGUCCGCAAGAGCUUUGAAAUUGUAGCAACUCUAACUCUGAUCUUCCAUUUAAAUUUUUGUCUCUUUUAAUCUUCAUUUUAGUUUUAAAGACUGAAAAGGACAAAAAAAAAUUAAAUAAAAAACUAAAAUCAAAAUAAAAUAAAUUGUAAUUUUGGUAUUGUAUAAGCAGUUUGUGAUGAAAAGGAGAAAAAGAGUGGAGAUUCAAGUUGUUUUCCAUUUUCCAUUUCUUAAAUUUUUUUAAUCUCUUGCUUUACUUUUAUUAUAUAUAGGACAAUAAAAGUGUAGAUAGAAAGUGGAGGCACAGCAUCGUCCUUCAAUUAAAUUAAAGGUAAAAAGUUAAUCAAUAAAUGGUCUAUAAUUAACGAAGCGUAAACUUCACUUUUACGUUUAAAAUAGCAAAGAUGUGAAUGGUAGUAUGGAAUCAAUACAGAAGGAUGGUUCGGUUUAACUAUGAAUAUAUUCAGUAUGUCUUAAAAACCAAACUUUACUUAUAAAUAAUAUUGUGUAUGAAUGAUCAAAAGGAGGGCAAGUUGACAAAGUAUAUAGAUACCAAUUGUCCAGCUGGACAUGCAGAGCUAUCAUCACUGCUACUUGCCAAGUUUAAUUGAUGAAGACUAAGAGUGCUCUCCUGUUAUUUCACCCAAGGAACAAUCUUGCAUUGCUUCUCUUUUAUUUAUUUACAAAAAGUUUCUAGUUUCUGUAUGAGUAGCCCGGCUGAGGAAUAGAUCGAGUUGUAUGGCUGGAUUAUUUGCAAGACAAAGGCACCAAACCUUGUGUAAGUCAAUGCUUUAGUAAGAUAGAUGAUUAUGGAGAAAAUAUGUAAGAGAGAGGUCAUACUUGAAGUGACGUCAAGGUCUGGUAUCUAGAGUAGUUGAUUCUCGGGUUGCUCGUUUAGUUGAUUAAUGAUUGAUUGAUGUAAUGUCGACGGUUAUCAGUUCAUUUUUCAUACACGUCUACUAGUUGUUAGAAGCUUCUCCUUUUAGAGAGAUGAAUCUUUUUUAAGCCACAUUAUUAUUAGGUUUUUUGAGCUUAAAUGUAGUAAUUUAUCAUAUUUAAUAAAUUAUUCAAUUGAUUAUAUAGUUUAUUGAUUACUUAUAUUAAAUUACUAAGAAAUUGUAUCAUAAGGAUUGUUUUAUGUGCUGAAAACAAUUUGUGCUAGUUGGAAAUUUAAAUGAAAAAUCUAUAGUCCACGGAAUCACCAAGAUCAAAUGAUUCAUAUUAUAUUUAUUAUGUUGCCCAUAAAUUCAAAUCGGGAGACAGUUUGUCUUGACUAUUGGAGUAGGAUUGACUCCUAAGAUAGAGACAUAGAUUUGAUUAUCUAGAUUGACAAUACAUUGGACUGGACUCAAGAUGAACUAAUUUUAACUUCGUUUAUAGAUUAAUUCACUUGUGGCAUUUAUUAUGUAUUUACCUUAAUCUUUCAAAGUAGUAAGCAAAAGGUAGAUAAUGGAACCAUAGUUCAAAUAAAGAGUCAAAGGUAUCUUCUUAAAGGUGUUAUAUGAUUGGUGUAGAUAAAAUUUGGUCAGACUAAUAAUGACUUGAAUCAUUUAAUGAAUGGUCGAUAAUUCACAUAAUAAUAUAUAAGGAAAUUUUAAGAAAAAUGAUAAAAAUUAGUAAGUCAACAAAAUCUAAAAGGAUUGUAGGUGCCUUACGAGGGUAAUGCACAAAUGAUAAAAUUAUUAGACAAAAGGUUUUUAGAUACAACUAUUUGUAAUUAUAUAUAUUUGGGAGUUCAAUCAUGAUACUUUAAUAGUAAGUUUUGUGGUUUAGUGAUAAUGUAAUUAAUAAAUGAAGAGUUGAAACUUAACCACCUGUUAUUUCAACUCGCAAUAUAUAUAUGUUCAAUUGAUCCCUUUACUAACUAACUAUAACUCUAUAAUGUUAUUGUUAGAAUUGAGUAACCCGAAUCCUUCUUAAAAUAUAAAAUAAAAUAAAAGUAAAAUCAAUAUAAAUCUACACUUCUUUUAUUUCAGAAUAAGGUUUUUAAACCUUAUUAAACUCCAUCUAUUUGAUAUUGAUUAGAAUAACGUGUUUCAAUCUUACUACACUCCUAUUAGAAUAUGAUUUUACAAUCCUAUAAAUAGACAUAUUAUACUCAUCUUGUAAUCAUUCAAAUUCGACAUAGUGAAUUAUCUUCUCAUCUACCCGUGGUUUUUUUUCCUGAAAGGGUUUCCACGUAAAAAUAUGUGUGUUCUUUAUUUUUCUUUCUCUUUUCUUUGCAAUAUAUCGUCAUUAUCGACGUUUUAUUUUUCACAAAUUGGUAUCAGAGCUUCCAGGUUGUUCAUCUCAAUCACGGUAAUGGCAUCUUUGAAGUAUGAAAUUUCACUAUUGAAUCACAACACUAGAUUCGUAUUGUGGUAGAUAAAGAUGAAAGCAUUUCUUGCGCAGAUAGACUUAGAGGAUGCCCUGCUAGGGAUAGAUAAGAUGCUUCGACAUUGAUGGAGGAAGAGAAGAAACGUAAGGAUUGAAAGGUGUUAACACAGUUACAUCUGCAUUUGUCUAACAAAAUUUUGCAGGAUGUGGUGAAGGAGAAAACCAUCGCUGCAUUAUGGAAGAGGCUGGAACAAAUAUGUAUGUCGAAAACUCUAACCAGCAAGUUGCAUAUGAAGCAGUGUCUUUAUACUCAUCGUUUGGAGGAAGGUGCGUCUGUGAGCAAACACUUAACAGUGUUUAAAAAA